rnacentral:rRNA from 1 species
AUUGAACGCUGGCGGCAUGCCUUACACAUGCAAGUCGAACGGUAACGCGGGGCAACCUGGCGACGAGUGGCGAACGGGUGAGUAAUGCAUCGGAACGUGCCCAGUAGUGGGGGAUAGCCCGGCGAAAGCCGGAUUAAUACCGCAUACGACCUACGGGUGAAAGCGGGGGACCGUAAGGCCUCGCGCUAUUGGAGCGGCCGAUGUCAGAUUAGGUAGUUGGUGGGGUAAAGGCCUACCAAGCCUUCGAUCUGUAGCUGGUCUGAGAGGACGACCAGCCACACUGGGACUGAGACACGGCCCAGACUCCUACGGGAGGCAGCAGUGGGGAAUUUUGGACAAUGGGCGCAAGCCUGAUCCAGCCAUGCCGCGUGCGGGAAGAAGGCCUCGGUGUAACGCUUUGUCUAGGAAGAACGACUCCGGGCGUAA